GCCCUUAUAGCUCAGUGGUAGAGCGCUUGACUUGUAAUCAAGAGGUCUGUAGUUCAAUCCUGCAUGGGGGCA
rfam:Aspergillus tubingensis CBS 134.48 unplaced genomic scaffold ASPTTscaffold_8, whole genome shotgun sequence.